rnacentral:rRNA from 1 species
UACGGAGGGGGCUAGCGUUGUUCGGAAUUACUGGGCGUAAAGCGCACGUAGGCGGCUUUGUAAGUUAGAGGUGAAAUCCUGGAGCUCAACUCCAGAACUGCCUUUGAUACUGAGGAUCUUGAGUACGGGAGAGGUGAGUGGAACUGCGAGUGUAGAGGUGAAAUUCGUAGAUAUUCGCAAGAACACCAGUGGCGAAGGCGGCUCACUGGCCCGUAACUGACGCUGAGGCACGAAAGCGUGGGGAGCAAACAGG